CUACGGGAGGCAGCAGCAGGGAAUAUUGCACAAUGGACGGAAGUCUGAUGCAGCGACGCCGCAUGGAUGAUGAAGGCCCUCGGGUUGUAAAAUCCUUUUCAGGGGGACGAGGAAGGACGGUACCCUUGGAAUAAGCGUCGGCUAACUACGUGCCAGCAGCACGCGGUAAGACGUAGGACGCAAGCGUUAUCCGGAUUUACUGGGCGUAAAGCGUCUGUAGGCGGAAUGGUAAGUUGGACGUGAAAGCUCCGGGCUCAACUCGGAGAGGUCGUUCAAUACUGCCAAACUAGAGGGCAUCAGAGGAGCGUGGAAUUUCCGGUGUAGCGGUAAAAUGCGCAGAUAUCGGAAGGAACACCAAUGGCGAAGGCAGCGCUCUGGGAUGAACCUGACGCUAAGAGACGAAAGCUAGGGGAGCGAACAGGAUUAGAUACCCUCGUAGUC
rnacentral:rRNA from 1 species